CACCAACCAGNNGACCGGACACGACCGACNGACCACGGAAGAGACGGNGGGCCCCCACACGANAANAAGGCCCUNGGACAAUNAAACACGAACAANGGNUNUCGAAAANUNANAGAAAACAAAAAAAGAAAACCCCGGNCCCAAACUUCCCUGACCAAACAAACCGCGGAUAAUACGAAGGGGGCUAGACGUNGUNCGGAUUUACUGGGCGUAAAGCGCGCGUAGGCGGNUUCNCAAAGUUAGAGGUGAAAGGCCGGGGCUCAACCCCGGAACGGCCUUUGAUACUGGAGGACUCGAGUCCGGGAGAGGGUGGUGGAACCCCAAGUGUAGAGGUGAAAUCCGCAGAUAUUUGGAAGAACACCGGUGGCGAAGGCGGCCACCUGGCCCGGUACUGACGCUGAGGCGCGAAAGCGUGGGGAGCGAACAGGAUUAGAUACCCUGGGUAGUCCACGCCGUAAACGAAGAGUGCCGGUCGACCNGAAACACNCACCUCGGGGACGAAGNCAAACGCGCNCAAGCACNCCGCCCGGGAAGNACGACCGCCANGGGCAA
rnacentral:rRNA from 1 species